rnacentral:lncRNA from 1 species
ACUAUGGCAUGGACCCUCAUCCUCGAGCCCCACUACUCAGAGGAGCUGGGAAGAAUUUCCACCCUUCCUAGUGGCAAGUCUCACUGUGAGAGCGGAGUGCCACCAGGCAAACAGGGCAGAAAGACUGCUUUAAGGAGAAUCCUUAUAUUGGGGGUUAUGAAGUGCAAUACACCCUCAUCCUCACGCUAACACUGGUACCAUGUAGCCCAAGCUUGUCUAACCUGCAGCCCGCGGGCUGUGUAUGGCCCAGGACAGCUCUGAAUGUGGCCCAACGCAAAUUUGUAAACUUUCUAAAACAUUAUGAGAUUUUUUUUUCUCAUCAGCUAUCAUCAGUGUGAGUGUAUGUUAUUUGUGACUCAAGACAAUCCUUCUUUUCCAAUGUGGCCCAGAGAAGCCAAAAGACUGGACACCCCUGAUGUGGCCCUUUCAUCCAUAGUAGCCUAUUUUGUCCUAAAGACGGUCUUGUGCAGUGAGUAGGCCAGGCCUCCCCACUACCACAGUUUACAGGCAAGGAAUGUGAUAUUUCAUAGGAUGACCCUGACUGGCACCUACAUUGCUAGCCAAAGAAUGGCACAAAGAUGUGGACAGAAGAGACAACCUUAAGCAGCUGACUGCUGGCUCCUGCAACAGUAUCAUCAUGGCAUUUGUCCUGGGGUCCCAAGGAAAGAAAACAAAUCUGUGGCUGAGGAACAGACUGAGUUGACAAAGCAGCUUCCACAGUAACACAAGGACAAAGGGUGUAUGUAGAUAUGCACGUGGUAGCAGGUUCUACUAAAGGAACCUGGACCGACCAUUCUCACUCACAUUCUUUGGGAGCUGUAUUCUAAUACUUUCAGAAAAGCCAUGGGAACACACCAGAGUGACUGCUCGAGUAAAUAAGUAGCAUAAACAGCAAGCCAAACCAUUGAUGUACACAUCACUGGGCCCAAUACUAUGAAAUCCCACAUAAGAAACUUGAAAGUGAAAGCUGGAAUUCUGAGGAUACUGGUUUUGCUUAAUAAACAGCAUUUCAACAGUUAUUGUCAUGAUAUUGCUACUGAUGCUGAACAAAGACCCAAGAACCAGGGUGAUGUUUAGCAUGGGCUGGCCUCAGCAGGACUGAAAGGACAUCAAUAAGGGAGAACAGAGAGAAGGAAGGAGGACAAGUGCCAACUUUGAGCAGAGACAGGGUUUCACUAUGUUGGCCAGACUGGCGUCGAACUCCUGACCUCGUGAUCUGCCCGCCUCGGCCUCCCAAAGUGCUGGGAUUACAGGCGUGAGCCACUGUGCCUGGCCAACAUCCAUACUCUUGAUCUGUUCCUCCACCCACAGCACUGCUUAUCUGGCCAGGCUCUCGUUCCUUCAUUACACAGCUUUCUGCUGGGAAGCAGAUAACUAAUAUAAAGAUGAUACUAACGAUUAAUGGAGGCUUCAUGGAGUCUCCCAGAAAUAUCACGUUUGUGGUUAAUAUUCCAAAGGCUACUGGUAGGGAUUUCUCAAUCUAACAUGAGUCUGAAAAAGAGAUGAUUUUCAUCAGAGCUAUUCUCGGGACUCUUUAAAUCAGGCCCUCAAGUGCUUAUCUUCUUUGCCUAUGUUUAGAGUCAAUCCUUAAAGCAAGUAAACAGUGUCCCCAUAUAUUUAGGAAUUCUCAAAAUCCUUGGAUUUGUUCAUACUAAGCUACUGUUAUACUCAUUUUUUAAAAAAAUUUUGGGCUCACUUUUCACCAUCUGCAUAAUGGGCAUAUAACAUAAAUCCAUUCUGUAUCACUUAAUCAUGUCUUAUCCUAGAUGAAUAAACACAUGAAAAAUCAGCC